rnacentral:rRNA from 1 species
CCUACGGGCGACAGCAGUAGGGAAUCUUCCACAAUGGGCGAAAGCCUGAUGGAGCAACGCCGCGUGGGUGAAGAAGGUCUUCGGAUCGUAAAACCCUGUUGUUAGAGAAGAAAGUGCGUGAGAGUAACUGUUCACGUUUCGACGGUAUCUAACCAGAAAGCCACGGCUAACUACGUGCCAGCAGCCGCGGUAAUACGUAGGUGGCAAGCGUUAUCCGGAUUUAUUGGGCGUAAAGGGAACGCAGGCGGUCUUUUAAGUCUGAUGUGAAAGCCUUCGGCUUAACCGGAGUAGUGCAUUGGAAACUGGGAGACUGGAGUGCAGAAGAGGAGAGUGGAACUCCAUGUGUAGCGGUGAAAUGCGUAGAUAUAUGGAAGAACACCAGUGGCGAAAGCGGCUCUCUGGUCUGUAACUGACGCUGAGGUUCGAAAGCGUGGGUAGCAAACAGGAUUAGAUACCCCAGUAGUC